GACGAACGCUGGCGGCGUGCUUAACACAUGCAAGUCGAACGGAAAGGCCCUGCUUGCAGGGUACUCGAGUGGCGAACGGGUGAGUAACACGUGGGUGAUCUGCCCUGCACUUCGGGAUAAGCCUGGGAAACUGGGUCUAAUACCGGAUAGGAGCUAUUUUUAGUGUGAUGGUUGGAAAGUUUUUUCGGUGUAGGAUGAGCUCGCGGCCUAUCAGCUUGUUGGUGGGGUAAUGGCCUACCAAGGCGGCGACGGGUAGCCGGCCUGAGAGGGUGGACGGCCACAUUGGGACUGAGAUACGGCCCAGACUCCUACGGGAGGCAGCAGUGGGGAAUAUUGCACAAUGGGCGCAAGCCUGAUGCAGCGACGCCGCGUGGGGGAUGACGGCCUUCGGGUUGUAAACUCCUUUCGCUAGGGACGAAGCUUUUUGUGACGGUACCUAGAGAAGAAGCACCGGCUAACUACGUG
rnacentral:rRNA from 1 species